GACGAACGCUGGCGGCGUGCUUAACACAUGCAAGUCGAACGGUAAGGCCCUUCGGGGUACACGAGUGGCGAACGGGUGAGUAACACGUGGGUGAUCUGCCCUGCACUUCGGGAUAAGCCUGGGAAACUGGGUCUAAUACCGGAUAGGACCACUGCCUGCAUGGGUGGUGGGGGAAAGCUUUUGCGGUGUGGGAUGGGCCCGCGGCCUAUCAGCUUGUUGGUGGGGUGAUGGCCUACCCAGGGGACGACGGGUAGCCGGCCUGAGAGGGUGACCGGCCACACUGGGACUGAGAUACGGCCCAGGCACCUACGGGAGGCAGCAGUGGGGAAUAUUGCACAAUGGGCGCAAGCCUGAUGCAGCGACGCCGCGUGAGGGAUGACGGCCUUCGGGUUGUAAACCUCUUCCAGCACCGACGAAGCGCAAGUGACGGUAGGUGCAGAAGAAGGACCGGCCAACUACGUGCCAGCAGCCGCCGUAA
rnacentral:rRNA from 1 species